UUCAAACACUAGUUCCCAUAUGAUCACUGAAGUUAAGCCAUGUAAAGCCUGAUCUGUACCUAGAUGGGUGACUUUGGGAAUACCAGGUGCUGUAAG